rnacentral:rRNA from 1 species
AUUGAACGCUGGCGGCAGGCUUAACACAUGCAAGUCGAGCGGUAGCACAGGGGAGCUUGCUCCCUGGGUGACGAGCGGCGGACGGGUGAGUAAUGUCUGGGAAACUGCCUGAUGGAGGGGGAUAACUACUGGAAACGGUAGCUAAUACCGCAUAACGUCGCAAGGCCAAAGAGGGGGACCUUCGGGCCUCUUGCCAUCAGAUGUGCCCAGAUGGGAUUAGCUAGUAGGUGGGGUAAUGGCUCACCUAGGCGACGAUCCGUAGCUGGUCUGAGAGGAUGACCAGCCACACUGGAACUGAGACACGGUCCAGACUCCUACGGGAGGCAGCAGUGGGGAAUAUUGGACAAUGGGCGCAAGCCUGAUGCAGCCAUGCCGCGUGUGUGAAGAAGGCCUUCGGGUUGUAAAGCACUUUCAGCGGGGAGGAAGGUGGUGAGCUUAAUACGUUCAUCAAUUGACGUUACUCGCAGAAGAAGCACCGGCUAACUACGUG